UUCUACGGGGGGCAGCAGUGAGGAAUAUUGGUCAAUGGGCGGGAGCCUGAACCAGCCAAGUCGCGUGCGGGAUGGAGGCCUUCGGGUUGUAAACCGCUUUUGUUCAAGGGCAAGGCACGGUCUUUGGCCGUGUUGAGUGGAUUGUUCGAAUAAGCACCGGCUAACUACGUGCCAGCAGCCGCGGUAAUACGUAGGGUGCAAGCGUUAUCCGGAUUUAUUGGGCGUAAAGGGCUCGUAGGCGGUUCGUCGCGUCCGGUGUGAAAGUCCAUCGCUUAACGGUGGAUCCGCGCCGGGUACGGGCGGGC
rnacentral:rRNA from 1 species